rnacentral:misc_RNA from 1 species
UGUGGGAGCCGGCUUGCUGGCGAUAGCGUACUCUCAGUCAGCAUCUUUGCUACCUGAUACACCGCUAUCGCCAGCAAGCCGGCUCCCACA